ACGGGGGGAGCAAGCGUUGUUCGGAAUCAUUGGGCGUAAAGCGCACGUAGGCGGCCCAGCAAGUCGGGUGUGAAAGCCCUCGGCUCAACCGAGGAAGUGCAUUCGAAACUACUGGGCUUGAAUACUGGAGAGGAUCGCGGAAUUCCCGGUGUAGAGGUGAAAUUCGUAGAUAUCGGGAGGAACACCAGUGGCGAAGGCGGCGAUCUGGACAGAUAUUGACGCUGAGGUGCGAAAGCGUGGGGAGCAAACAGGA
rnacentral:rRNA from 1 species